GAUCAUAGCUCAGGAUGAACGCUGGCGGCGUGCCUAAUACAUGCAAGUCGAACGAAUCUCUUUUAGAGAUGAGUGGCGAACGGGUGAGUAAUACAUAGGUAACCUGUCCCUGUGCGGGGGAUAACAGGAGGAAACUCCUGCUAAUACCGCAUAGCCAUGAGCACCGCAUGGAGCUCAUGCCAAAUAUCCUUUAUGGGAUAGCGCAGGGAUGGACCUAUGGCG
rnacentral:rRNA from 1 species